GUCAGUUUCAACAUAAACCAUGUUCUCUGAAGCUCUGCUGCUGCUGUUGGCAGCUGGAUGUGUGAAGUGUGAACAGUUGACCCAGCCAGCCUCUGUGACUGUGCAGCCAGGUCAACGUCUGACCAUCACCUGUCAGGUCUCUUAUUCUGUUGGUAGCUAUGCUACAGCUUGGAUCAGACAGCCUGCAGGGAAAGGACUGGAGUGGAUUGGAUGGAAAUAUACUGGAGGUUCACACUACAAAGAUUCCCUGAAGAACAAGUUCAGUAUCGACUUAGAGACUUCCAGCAAGACAGUGACUCUAAAUGGACAGAAUGUGCAGCCUGAAGAACUGGUGUAUUACUGUGCCAGAGAGCCACAGUAACACAAACCAUCAGUAGACCUGAACAAAAACCCCUCAGAGCCUGAACACUUGUAACAUGAAGCCACCAGAGGAGGAGCCCUCAGACCACUAAUGGUUUCAA